GUUUCUGUAGCUGUAGUGGUUAUCACGUUCGCCCUCCACUCGCGAAAGGUCCCCGGUUCGAAACCGGGGCAGAAACA